AAUUUCUUUUUUCUCUAAAAGCUUUAUCUAUACCUUAUCCAGAUGACCAGAUGUUCCCAAAGUUGUAACAAUUUCUUUCCAAAAACUCUAUCCCCUUUGACAAGAAUUCACUUCAAAUGGCUUCCAAUCUUCUUAAAUUCCAUGCACAACCCAUCCAAAAUUUUCACCCUUUGUUCCAUUUCAACCUUACCAAAUUGCCAUCCUCAACUUCUUCCUUAUGCUUUAUAGGAUCAACACAGCAACUUAACAAUCUUUAUCUCUCUGUUUCCUUCACAAAACCAACCAAGUUCAAUUUUUUACCUCUUCAAUGUUCACUCUCUUCUCCUACCCCACCUACCACUAAAGAAGAUGCCAUUUCCCAAGCAAAGUUGUCUCUUUUAACUACUUUAGAGAAACCCCUUAACAAUCCUAAGCUUGUUGGGAGACUCAAGAAACUCAAACAACCAAGAUUUCGUGUUGAAAUUCCAGUUGUUGAUGACUCCUCAUCUGCACUAUCUCAGCUUGCUCUUGAUAUUUUUGCAAACAUGCCCAUUAAAAGAAAAGGCCCAAAAAUCAAGAUUCUGCUUUUAUGGCCUAACCAAAGCUUAACUCAAGCUGCACAAAAAGCCUUUGAGAGUAAGUCUUCAAACCCCAUUAUUGAAAAUUUUGAUAUUUCAUCAAUAUCUGAUGAUGAGGAUAUCAGAAUGGUAAAUUCUGGAGAUGUGGUUGUGUUUAUGGCUCCAGAGGUUUCAAGAUUAAGUGUAAUGGAGGCUAUUGCUGAUACAUUGUAUCCAAAGCCUGUGGUGAUUUUCAAUCCCAAAUGGGGGUUUGAUGAAGAAAGUAGCUUUGGUAAGUUGAGUGGAUUUGUGGGUUCAUUUGAGGUUGUGUAUUCAUUUAUGGGAUUAGAGGUUAAAGGAAUAUUGAGUAAGAGAAAUGGUGUGAUGUUUAAGUGUGUGAGGAAUGGGGUUUUGAGUGGUGAGAAAUGGUAUGUCUUUGUUGAAGAAGAUGGAGAAUUGAAGGUGGUUUCGAGGUUUAAAACAAGGCCAUCAAUUGAGGAAGUUGAGAAUGUUUUGUAUAACUUGAUGGCGAUUAAUUCACCAAUCACAAAGUCAGCAAAGUUCUUGAAAGAUUUGGUGUCAAAUGUAAGGGGACAAAAGUGAAGCACGCCAAUUCAAGGAUCAAGUUCUUUGCUAUCAGAGGAUGAGAAAACUCUUGUUUUCUCCCUGCACGUGUCCAUAGCUGUGCUCAUCUUUCCAUUCAUUUCAAUGUACUAUAGAGGUGAAAGAUCAGUUUGAGCUACGAUGUCAUAAUCCAGGAAGACUACCUUAUCAAGAGUGGGAAACAACUGAAAAGAUAUUCAUACUUUGUAGAAAUAUUACAACUAUUUCAAGGAGAGGGAGGAAUGGAUGUUACAUUCAUUCUAAGUACAUGUAAUUUACUUUAUGAUUUCAAGGCUUACCUCCGCCAAAUUAUCCUUUUGUGGUUAUCGGACUGAGGGUUUGUAACUUUUGCUGCAAUAUGUUGGGCUUCCCCCUUUCUUCUUGACCCUCCCGUGUACUGUGACCUUGCCUUUUGGUCUUUCUCCAUUAAUUCCUUAACUCGAACAAUCCCCUUUGUGAACCUAUUAAACUUAUGCACCAUUUAACUGCAAUGAUAGAAAGGGGCAAAGGAUUGAAAGAAAAAUCAAGCUUGCAUUGGUGAAUAGGGCUUUCUAUCUGUUAUUAUGCGAAGGACAACCUUCUUCAGAUACCAGGAGUUCUUGAGAAGUGAUGAUGCAACAACAAAAGCGGCAUGAAUAUUAUCAGAGGCAAGUACGUGUUGGGAGUGUGAAUUAUCAGCUAAGGCAGGGACAAGUUAUUGAUAACAACUGAGACGGGCGUUGGCAUUCAUUGGAUGCUCAUGUGCUAGCUUCACAGCAAGACAAUGCAGCAGUUCUAGAAUGCUGCUAGAUGCUACAUGCCGGUACUAUAGAGUGCAGGGGAAUCAAGAGAUUUAAAUACAUGAUUCUACAAUUACCUAAUAGAAGAACAGCUCAGGAGAUCUUUAGGAUGCAAACAGCAAAAUGGCUGUUCACAUCAAUGAAAGAAAAUAGAAAUGGUGGUUUAACUUCACUGUGAGUAUGUUCUUUCUUUACUAGUACAAUUUUCUACCAACUCGAACGGCAAUAGAACUUUAGUGUUUCACUUGUUAUUUUGCUUUGUACUGUGAAUUUGUGAUUCUCCUAAGGUUGUCUAUGUACCUAGCAAGCAUAAUCAGCUUAUUUUUAUAUUAUACCUUCUUCAUACUGCUAUAUUAUACCUUCUUCAUACUGCUAUAUUCUGCUGAAAUAUUUUCAAGCCUUUGUGCUCAGAGACAGCUGUGCUAACGCUUCCUGGGCUAUUAUAUCUGCAAUAUUUUCUUGAAACCUUUAGCUGGUAAAACUGUGACAGGCCUAAGACUUGGUGAUAAUUGGAGCUGCAUCAUUUCUAACUUUCAAAUACGAGAGAUGCUGUAAGAGAAAGGACUUAUCGUCUUUACUACCUCUUAAGAGUUAUGUGAGUGCAUAACGGUAUAUAUUUUGUACUCAAGUUACUAAUGAAAUCAUUACCAUAAUAAUCGUCACAGUACUCAAGGGUGUGGCCUAGUGGUCAAUGAAGUGGGGGUGUGAACCAUGAGGUCUCGGGUUCAAAUCCUAGUGGAGACAAAAAAUUAUUAGUUAUUUCUUCCCAUCUAUCCAAGCCUCGGGGGUAGAGUUACCCGGUACCUGUUGCUGGAAUUAGUCAAAGUUCGCGCAAGCUAGCCCGGACAAUUGCCUUGCCUUGACCAUAAUGUUUCUGCGAGAAAAAGCUUACCCGCGUCUUAUGUCUCCACCAAAUUAGUAAAUUUGUGACCCUUAAGAUCAAAUCAUUUGGUUUGAUGCAAAUAUUGGCCGCAAGUUUUUUUUCCA